rnacentral:rRNA from 1 species
AAAACACUGACGAACGCUGGCGGCGUGCUUAACACAUGCAAGUCGAACGCUGAAGCCCGGAGCUUGCUCUGGGUGGAUGAGUGGCGAACGGGUGAGUAACACGUGAGUAACCUGCCCCUCACUCUGGGAUAAGCGCUGGAAACGGCGUCUAAUACUGGAUACGACCCAUACCGGCAUCGGUAGUGGGUGGAAAGAUUUAUCGGUGGGGGAUGGACUCGCGGCCUAUCAGCUGGAUGGUGAGGUAAUGGCUCACCAUGGCGACGACGGGUAGCCGGCCUGAGAGGGUGACCGGCCACACUGGGACUGAGACACGGCCCAG